CCCCGCGGAGCGGCCUCCGAGCGCCGAGCGGCCCUCAGGGCGCGGGCUGCUGCCGCCCGGCCCCGCGCUGCCGGCCCCGGCCCUGCGCCGCGCUGCCCGCGCCUCCCAUCGCUGGAUGUGUCCCGCGCUCGGAUGUAAACCGCACUUAUAUACGUACACACUCCCCUUACAUUGACAUAUUGGAUAUUUAAAUGCAAGCCACACCUCACUGGCAUCCCCUUUGGCUAUGGGUUGUGGGUUUUUUUUUUCCUUCUUCUCGAUCCACUUGUGGUUGGCUUUUUUUUUUUUUUUUUUUUUUAAGCUUNGCGAGUCUGUCCGCAGCGAGUCCUCUGUCAGACAGCCUCCUCCGCAUCAGAGGGUUUCUCCCCUCACGGGUCUCCCGACAGCAAGUAGCUGACCUCAGGAAGCCUCGCCCCUCUGCGGGUCUCUUCCCCUCAGAGGGUCUCUCCCCUCAGUUUACGUCCUUUUGACCCCUCACGAGUGUCUCUCCUGUCUCUGUGGGUCUUUCCCUUCAGCGUUGAGUUCCCUUCAGGAGGACUCGCUCCUUUGUAAGUCUCUUCCCCUCAGCGGGGCUGUUCUCUCCACUCACGGGUUGCCCCUCAGCCAGCUUCCCUCUCCUCAGGGGUUGCUCUCCUCGGGACGAUUCAGCCCUCCGCAGGUCUCUUCUCCUCAGUGGGUCUGUUCCCUCACAAGUCACCCCUAUGGUGGGUCUCCCCUCAGCAGGCAGCUCCAUUCAUGAGGACUCACCCCUCUGUAGGUCUUCUUCCCAUCAGCAGUGUUCCCCUCAGCAGUCUGUCCCCUUACGGGUCUCACUUCAAGGGAUCUCUUCCCCCUCAGAGAGUCUCUCCUCUCAGGAGGUCUCGCCCCAAAGCUGCCGUUCCCCACAUCUGCCCCAGGGCAGUGGGAGAAAGGGCCAUGACAUACAGCCCCCUUUUCCCACAGGCCCGGGCAGUUCUCUGUUGUGAAGACCUGAAGGAAACUGUGAUAUUACCACAUGGAGUAUCCACACGUGCAUCUGCAGAGGGAGUGUUUUUUAGAUACUUCAGUCUACUCCUGGUCCUGUGAACUUCAUCCUGUGCCUGCAGUGCAGAUUUACAGUUGGAGCAGAGUUUUGCAUUCGUCUGUGAUCAGGUUGCUUUGGGUCUUCGGCGCAGUAGCUGAACAUCUCUGCCUUUCAAGAUAGUGACGCUUGUUCUCUCUCUGGAGAACUAAUACUGGAAUGUAUUAGUAUGUGAGGUGAGGCUGGGCAGUCUGUUCUGGGCACUAUUCUAGAAGCGGGUGAAUAGAUUUUUGAUGGGAGAGUCUAAAGUGAACAGAGAGACAGAAAAGGGAAAAAGGAAAUUAUUUUUUCCCUGAAUAUGCUAAUUGGUGACAGAUUUAGCUUUUGUGAUGACACUGAAGCUUUUCACACUUGUUGCUGAUGUUUCACAUAAGUAACAUUACUCUAGUUCAUUUUUAUAAUAGUGGGCUGUCUGUUUAUGAAGAGACAUGCAACACCCCUUAUAAGAUGUAAAUAGCCUGAUUUGCUAAUCAUCUUGUAAUUUCUCUUGAUGUGAAUGUUCUGUACUUUAAUAGCCUUAUUCUUUUCUCCAGUGAGUCAGUUAAUUAAAAUACAGCAUAAUGCUCCUGUUUCAAAAAAUCAAGUACUUUGCAGGUUUUGAAUAGAAGAAUGUUGCAUUGUAUGAGACUUGCAUAAUCCAUCAACCAGCUGCCCCACAAGUCAUGUUUUUUCAUCUCAAUAUUUCUGGGAAGAAAGAUAUAAACUGGUUAUGAAAACCAUGGUAAAGGCAUAUUUUUUAUGAGUUCUUCAAGUGGCCAAAGGAUAGGCAGAUGUUCAAGAGAGCACCAUCCUUCUGGACACUCUUUGAAAUGUGCAUUAACCUUCUUCCGGAUGAGAUGUGUUUCUUUUCAGCAGGGCUUCUUGAGUUUCAUGACAGGAGUUUCAUUGAAGUGUCAUGACGAAUGAGGAGUUAAUGAGGAGUUAAGGGAGUCCAGUUUGGAUAGCACUGAUCUUACACAACUGCAAUAUAUAGUAAUCACAGCUCAUGUAGAUUGAGUUUCAUGUUAGAUCUCAACACGUUUAUUUUACAGCAUCUUUUGCUAUGUUUGUAUAGCAUUGCUGCUGCCUUUCUCUAGAUGAGAACAUGUAGGAAUGCAAUAGGCAAGUGGUGUGCUCAAGGAAGUGAGAGUCUAUGAUUAGUGCAGGUAACUGGUGACUUACUAGCACUUACGUUAGCUUUGUCUUAGUCCAAGUAGUCACUUGGAUUGGCUUGCGUUCUUUUUGAGAGCUUCUAGGGCCGUAAGUAAGUCCUAAGAUUGUGUAGGGCCCCGAGCAGCAAGCACAGGGGACUCUGCAUGAGCAAUGCAGUUUCUGGGCAUGCACGGCCAGUCCAUCUGGAUUGCUGCAGCUUAUAUCCAACCAGUGCAGUGACCUGGCUGCGGAGCGUUUUUUGAUCUAGGGAUCCUGGAAGUGAAAUACACCUGCAACGUGUGUUAUUUUUGUGCUGAGAAAGGAUAAGCCUCACUUAUGGUUUCUUUCUCAAGUGAUAGUGAUAAGGUUUAUUUUUCUCAAGAAUGGGAGGCGAGGAAGGCACAAAGGCUUAGCCUGUAUCCUUCAUGACAAGAGGCUCUAACACGAGCCAAAAUCAAAGUCUUAUUUCAGUGCUGGGAGCUGGUGGUUCUGUUUCUGCAUGGUAUAGCUCUGUCUGAAGCAUAAUGAGCCUCACGUUUUGCUUGUGGAUGGGAAGCAGAAGUCAAGUUCACACCAAGAAAUAGUGUUGACUGUAGUGAGGACAGAAACAUAGAACUGGAUACAGGUAAGCCUAGAUCUCAGAAAUCUGGUUUCCUUCACCUCUGCUUUAAUAGCUUAGGAUAUUUAUGGCCUUGGCAAAGUUCAGAAAGACAGCUGAAGAGUAUCGUCUCAUGCACUAGUCUAAAAAUCUUGAGAUAUCCUGUAGCUGAGAUUUUCUAAAAGACUGG
ensembl:lncRNA